rnacentral:rRNA from 1 species
AGUGAACGCUGGCGGUAGGCCUAACACAUGCAAGUCGAACGGCAGCACAGUAAGAGCUUGCUCUUACGGGUGGCGAGUGGCGGACGGGUGAGGAAUACCUCGGAAUCUACUUUUUCGUGGGGGAUAACGUAGGGAAACUUACGCUAAUACCGCAUACGACCUACGGGUGAAGGCAGGGGAUCUUCGGACCUUGCGCGAUUGAAUGAGCCGAUGUCGGAUUAGCUAGUUGGCGGGGUAAAGGCCCACCAAGGCGACGAUCCGUAGCUGGUCUGAGAGGAUGAUCAGCCACACUGGAACUGAGACACGGUCCAGACUCCUACGGGAGGCAGCAGUGGGGAAUAUUGGACAAUGGGCGCAAGCCUGAUCCAGCCAUACCGCGUGGGUGAAGAAGGCCUUCGGGUUGUAAAGCCCUUUUGUUGGGAAAGAAAAGCAGCAGGUUAAUACCCCGCUGUUCUGACGGUACCCAAAGAAUAAGCACCGGCUAACUUCGUG